GUGAGUAGUUCAGAGUUUGAUCCUGGCUCAGGAUGAACGCUGGCGGCGUGCUUAACACAUGCAAGUCGAACGAAGCACUUAUGAUUGAGAUUUCGGUUGAUUGAUUAAGUGACUUAGUGGCGGACGGGUGAGUAACGCGUGGGUAACCUGCCUUGUACAGGGGGAUAACAGUUAGAAAUGACUGCUAAUACCGCAUAACCCGCUAAGGUCGCAUGACCUAGACGGAAAAGAUUUAUCGGUACAAGAUGGACCCGCGUCUGAUUAGCUAGUUGGUGAGGUAACGGCCCACCAAGGCGACGAUCAGUAGCCGGCCUGAGAGGGUGAACGGCCACAUUGGGACUGAGACACGGCCCAA
rnacentral:rRNA from 1 species